rnacentral:rRNA from 1 species
GCUUGCUUCUCCGGAUGAGUUGCGAACGGGUGAGUAACGCGUAGGUAACCUGCCUGGUAGCGGGGGAUAACUAUUGGAAACGAUAGCUAAUACCGCAUAACAGUAGAUAUUGCGUGAUAUCUGCUUGAAAGGUGCAAUUGCAUCACUACCAGAUGGACCUGCGUUGUAUUAGCUAGUUGGUGGGGUAACGGCUCACCAAGGCAACGAUACAUAGCCGACCUGAGAGGGUGAUCGGCCACACUGGGACUGAGACACGGCCCAGACUCCUACGGGAGGCAGCAGUAGGGAAUCUUCGGCAAUGGACGGAAGUCUGACCGAGCAACGCCGCGUGAGUGAAGAAGGUUUUCGGAUCGUAAAGCUCUGUUGUAAGAGAAGAACGAGUGUGAGAGUGGAAAGUUCACACUGUGACGGUAUCUUACCAGAAAGGGACGGCUAACUACGUGCCAGCAGCCGCGGUAAUACGUAGGUCCCGAGCGUUGUCCGGAUUUAUUGGGCGUAAAGCGAGCGCAGGCGGUUAGAUAAGUCUGAAGUUAAAGGCUGUGGCUUAACCAUAGUACGCUUUGGAAACUGUUUAACUUGAGUGCA